UACGUAGGUGGCAAGCGUUGUCCGGAUUUACUGGGCGUAAAGAGCGCGCAGGCGGUCGUUCAAGUCGCGUGUGAAAGCCCCCGGCUCAACUGGGGAGGGUCACGCGAUACUGAUCGACUCGAAGGCAGGAGAGGGUAGUGGAAUUCCCGGUGUAGUGGUGAAACGCGUAGAUAUCGGGAGGAACACCAGUGGCGAAGGCGACUACCUGGCCUGUUUCUUGACGCUGAGGCGCGAAAGCUAGGGGAGCAAACGGG
rnacentral:rRNA from 1 species